AUGCACAAGAAGACAGCGGCGAGCAGCAAGGGUCACUUCGGCCACCUCACCGACGACCUCCUCCGGCACGUCCUGUCCUUUCUGCCUGUUGCUGAUGCCCUGCAGACCUGCGUACUCGACACCCGGUGGCGUGACCAUUGGAGGCGCGCCACCAGCCUGCUCCUCAUCUUUGACCAGUCGAGUUUUCCGAGCUCCGAACGUUUCAAACAGCUGGCGAAGCUCUUCAUCCACCUCCGCGGGAACUCACCUCUCGACAAGUGCAAGAUUGUUGGCUGUCUCGAUGACGAGGAGGAGCGCACAUACAAAAACACCAUGCUGUUGAUCGAGUACGCUCUAAAGUGCCAAGUUAAGGAGCUCCUACUCAGUGUUGCUGUUGACGAAGACUUUGAGUUUGAGCCACUAAUACUUGAUGUGCCUCUCAUCUCUCAGCACUUGAAGAUCCUACACCUUGAGCGGUUUGAAUUAAAACGCUCCACUCUGAAUUUCUCGCGCUGUUCGGUACUAGAGGAUCUAAAGAUGCAACAUUGCAACAUUGAUGCACGCAGGAUAUCUUCCAAAUCACUAAAGCGUCUCUGCUUUACCAACUUUUGUUUCUUCCCUGAGGAGUUCCACAUUCGGAUAUUUGUCCCGGGCCUUAUCUCACUGCAACUUGAUGAUCAUAAUGGCUUGACCCCUUCUCCUGAAUACAUGCCAUCUCUAGAAACAGCUUAUGUUUGCCUUCACAAUAAUUUCUAUCAUUCUUGUCGUGGUAACCUGCAGGACUGUGAGUAUGAUGACUGCAGCUGUCAUGCUUAUCCCGUUGAUCAGGGUGUGCUUCUCCAUGGUUUGUCCAAUGCUGUGAAUUUGGAGUUAAUAGGCGAUACUUACACUGAACUGCUUAUCUAUAGAUGGGAUUUAGAAUGCUGCCCCAUAUUUGACAAACUAAAGACUCUAUCACUCAGUGAGUGGUUUACGACUAUUGACCUACUGUGCAUUCUCCAACACUCUCCAGUUCUUGAGGUGCUCACUCUAAAGCUUGAUAGCACUAAGAAAUUGGUUAGAGCAACUGAACUAGAAGAAAAGGUAGAACAAUCAUUUGUAUGCUCGCACCUUAAGGUUGUCAACAUUGAAUGUAGAAAGGUCGAUGAGAGAGUUCACAAAAUUCUGAAGUUCUUGAGUCAAUGUGGCAUACUUCGUGAUCAAAUUAGCAUCACGGAGCAAUGA
rnacentral:rRNA from 1 species